rnacentral:rRNA from 1 species
AUCUGGUCAGGACGAACGCUGGCGGCGUGCCUAAUACAUGCAAGUCGAACGGCUUUUCUAUGGAAGCUUGCUUCCACUGAAAAGAUAGUGGCGAACGGGUGAGUAACACGUGGGUAACCCUGCCCAUAAGAGGGGGGAUAACAUCCGGAAACGGGUGCUAAUACCGCAUAGUUUUCUUGAUCGCAUGAUCGGGAAAGGAAAGACGGCCUUUGUGCUGUCGCUUAUGGAUGGACCCGCGGCGUAUUAGUUAGUUGGUGAGGUAACGGCUCACCAAGACGAUGAUACGUAGCCGACCUGAGAGGGUGAUCGGCCACAUUGGGACUGAGACACGGCCCAAACUCCUACGGGAGGCAGCAGUAGGGAAUCUUCCGCAAUGGACGAAAGCCUGACGGAGCGAACCGCCGCGUGAACGAAGAAGGCCGUGAGGUUGUAAAGUUCUUUUCGGGAGGGGGAACAACCGUGGCAGGGAAUGGCCGCGGGAUGACGUGAAUCCCGGAAUAAGCCCCGGCUAACUACGUGCCAGCCGCUGC